UGAGUGUAAACCACGGCUGUGCCAGUAAUA
rnacentral:piRNA from 1 species